rnacentral:lncRNA from 1 species
UCUGUGCUGGUGAUUUGGUCCUGUCAGGUGCUGGUGGGUCCUGAUUCUGUGCUGGUGGGUUUGUUUACAUUGUAUCAGAACGCAAUAAAACGACUGUUUUGUUGCUUAAUUUUUCUCUGAUGCGUCAUAAGUACCAUGCAAAGUAUAUUACAACAAUAUUAUAUUGCAAAAGUCGUGCAAGUUCGUUAAACGGAAUUGUCCUGACGCUGUGCUAGUGAUAAGGAAAACGGUCCUUGUUCUGUGCCUUUAUAUUUUAGUUAAAAGUGGCAUAUAUUCAAGAUCAUUGAUGCUGUACUGUUAUUGACUAAUUAACUGUUGUCUGCUUUCUUGAAAUUGACAUUGUUGUGAAUCUGUUUACUGUUAUUAUGAGAGAAAAAAUACCCCUAUUUUUUUAUUUUUUUUAAAA